rnacentral:rRNA from 1 species
GAUGAUUGUUCUGUGACUGAGUGGCGGACGGGUGAGUAACGCGUGGAUAACCUGCCUCACACAGGGGGAUAACAGUUGGAAACGACUGCUAAUACCGCAUAAGCGCACGGCACCGCAUGGUGCAGUGUGAAAAACUCCGGUGGUGUGAGAUGGAUCCGCGUCUGAUUAGCUAGUUGGCGGGGUAACGGCCCACCAAGGCGACGAUCAGUAGCCGGCCUGAGAGGGCGACCGGCCACAUUGGGACUGAGACACGGCCCAGACUCCUACGGGAGGCAGCAGUGGGGAAUAUUGCACAAUGGGGGAAACCCUGAUGCAGCGACGCCGCGUGAGCGAUGAAGUAUUUCGGUAUGUAAAGCUCUAUCAGCAGGGAAGAUAAUGACGGUACCUGACUAAGAAGCUCCGGCUAAAUACGUGCCAGCAGCCGCGGUAAUACGUAUGGAGCAAGCGUUAUCCGGAUUUACUGGGUGUAAAGGGAGCGUAGGCGGUCCUGCAAGUCUGAUGUGAAAGGCCGGGGCUCAACCCCGGGACUGCAUUGGAAACUGUAGGACUAGAGUGUCGGAGGGGUAAGUGGAAUUCCUAGUGUAGCGGUGAAAUGCGUAGAUAUUAGGAGGAACACCAGUGGCGAAGGCGGCUUACUG